rnacentral:rRNA from 2 species
UACGGAGGAUCCAAGCGUUAUCCGGAUUUAUUGGGUUUAAAGGGUGCGUAGGCGGUCCUAUAAGUCAGUGGUGAAAGACGGCAGCUUAACUGUCGCAGUGCCUUUGAUACUGUAGGACUUGAAUCUAUUUGAAGUGGGCGGAAUAAGACAAGUAGCGGUGAAAUGCAUAGAUAUGUCUUAGAACUCCGAUUGCGAAGGCAGCUCACUAAGUUAGUAUUGACGCUGAUGCACGAAAGCGUGGGGAUCAAACAGG